rnacentral:misc_RNA from 1 species
GAAGAUGAUGAAGCAGAUUUACCCAAUAUUUUCAUGCAAAGCUUUAACAGAGAUACCUUGAAUGUAUCGCAAAAACAAAGCUAUGGCUGCAAAGUAGGAAGGGGCUAUGGGCAUUAAUGACUAACCUCAACUCGGCUACAAACUAAGAGUUAAUUGAGUCACAAAACCGAGUCCAACCCAACUCAGCCUAUCCCCAAUUCAAGAGAAAAGUUAGUCAAAUGCACGACCAAGCAGCCAAACCAACCACAAAUCAUCCCAAGGGAAAAACAAUUCCCAGAUCCUAAUCGUUUCUCCCAGAAUGGAGGAGCAAGAAAAUCUCUUGACUGAAACCGUAAUUCACUACUGGGGCAAAACCCGAGAGGAAGAAUACUACAAGCAACAAGGAAUCAGGGCAUCACAUUCAUUAUACACCUCACCUAGGGGACUCUCUCUCUUCACCAGAUCAUGGCUUCCCAUCUCCACUGCGCCUCCGCGUGGCAUCCUCUGUAUGGUUCACGGUUAUGGCAAUGACAUCAGCUGGACCUUUCAGUCCACAGCUAUCUUCCUUGCUCAGAUGGGUUUUGCCUGCUAUGCUAUUGAUAUCGAAGGGCACGGUAGAUCUCAAGGCCUCAAGGCGUAUGUCCCCAAUGUCGACCUCGUUGUUCAAGAUUGUCUUUCUUUCUUCAAUUUUAUCAAGCAAGAUCCAGAAUUUCAUGGGUUGCCCUCAUUUUUAUAUGGUGAGUCAAUGGGUGGUGCUAUUUGUCUCCUGAUUCAUCUAGCAAACCCUAGAGGGUUUGAUGGUGCAAUCUUGGUUGCACCCAUGUGUAAAAUCUCAGAGAAUAUGAAACCCAGAUGGCCAAUUCCUGAGAUUCUAUCAUUUGUUGCAAAAUUCUUGCCAACUUUGCCUAUUGUACCAACUGCAGAUGUUCUAUCAAAGUCGAUAAAAGUUGAGGAAAAGAAGAUAAUUGGAGUGAUGAAUCCGAUGAGGUACAAGGGAAAACCAAGAUUAGGUACUGUUUUGGAGCUGUUGAGAGUUACAGAUUAUCUGAGUCAAAGAUUAUGUGAUAUUAGCAUUCCCUUCAUUGUAUUACAUGGCAGUGCUGACGUUGUUACAGAUCCAAAUGUGAGCAGAGCUUUGUAUGAAGAGGCAAAUAGCGAAGACAAAACAAUCAAGAUUUAUGAUGGUAUGAUGCAUUCUUUGCUUUUUGGUGAGACUGAUGAGAAUAUUGAAAUUGUUCGGGGUGAUAUUUUGGCUUGGUUGAAUGAUAGAUGCCAAGCAAAUUGAUGUUCUGAUUACUUUUUCUUAUGAGCAACAGCUCCUCUUUGUUCAAAUGCAAAAACCUGUGAGGAACUUGAAGAAUUCUAUUUUUCUAAUGGAUUUAAUAUCUUAUUUGAAUUAAGUUUGAUAUAUAUGUUAAUUGGGUAUUUACUGUUUGAUUGAAAUUUGUAGCUUGAUGAUAUCUGUCCGUUAAAAGAGCUCUACAAUCUGUUACAGACUGCAAGUCCCUGAGAAUUUUUUUCAGUUGUGUUUGUGCAGCAAAUUAGAGGAGAAAUCUAGUUCUGCUCAUGUCAUGAACAUUUUAGUUUCUUAAUACAAAUGCACAGAAAGUUACAAAGAAAAGAAAUAACUAGCAGUUUCAGAGCGUAGGAUGUCAACCGAGUUCUUUGAUCCUUUAGU